GACUCAGUAGUCCAAUGGUAAAGCGCUCGUCGUGGAAGCAGUGGGUCCUGGGUUCGAUCCCCAACAGGGUUG
rnacentral:tRNA from 1 species